GGAGAGAGGGCGGAGCUAAUACCGGAUAGUCCUUGAACCGCAUGGUUCAAGGAUGAAAGACGGUUUCGGCUGUCACUUACAGAUGGACCCGCGGCGCAUUAGCUAGUUGGUGAGGUAACGGCUCACCAAGGCGACGAUGCGUAGCCGACCUGAGAGGGUGAUCGGCCACACUGGGACUGAGACACGGCCCAGACUCCUACGGGAGGCAGCAGUAGGGAAUCUUCCGCAAUGGACGAAAGUCUGACGGAGCAACGCCGCGUGAGUGAUGAAGGUUUUCGGAUCGUAAAGCUCUGUUGUUAGGGAAGAACAAGUGCAAGAGUAACUGCUUGCACCUUGACGGUACCUAACCAGAAAGCCACGGCUAACUACGUGCCAGCAGCCGCGGUAAUACGUAGGUGGCAGCGUGUCCGGAAUUAUUGGGCGUAAAGGGCUCGCAGGCGGUUUCUUAAGUCUGAUGUGAAAGCCCCCGGCUCAACCGGGGAGGGUCAUGGAAACUGGGAAACUUGAGUGCAGAAGAGGAGAGUGGAAUUCCACGUGUAGCGGUGAAAUGCGUAGAGAUGUGGAGGAACACCAGUGGCGAAGGCGACUCUCUGGUCUGUAACUGACGCUGAGGAGCGAAAGCGUGGGGAGCGAACAGGAUUAGAUACCCUGGUAGUCCACGCCGUAAACGAUGAGUGCUAAGUGUUAGGGGGUUUCCGCCCCUUAGUGCUGCAGCUAACGCAUUAAGCACUCCGCCUGGGGAGUACGGUCGCAAGACUGAAACUCAAAGGAAUUGACGGGGGCCCGCACAAGCGGUGGAGCAUGUGGUUUAAUUCGAAGCAACGCGAAGAACCUUACCAGGUCUUGACAUCCUCUGACAACCCUAGAGAUAGGGCUUUCCCUUCGGGGACAGAGUGACAGGUGGUGCAUGGUUGUCGUCAGCUCGUGUCGUGAGAUGUUGGGUUAAGUCCCGCAACGAGCGCAACCCUUGAUCUUAGUUGCCAGCAUUCAGUUGGGCACUCUAAGGUGACUGCCGGUGACAAACCGGAGGAAGGUGGGGAUGACGUCAAAUCAUCAUGCCCCUUAUGACCUGGGCUACACACGUGCUACAAUGGACAGAACAAAGGGCUGCGAGACCGCAAGGUUUAGCCAAUCCCACAAAUCUGUUCUCAGUUCGGAUCGCAGUCUGCAACUCGACUGCGUGAAGCUGGAAUCGCUAGUAAUCGCGGAUCAAGCUCAUCCCC
rnacentral:rRNA from 1 species